GAAUAAUAUUUUACAGCCUCUGCCAAUUUAAAAAUCAAAUUGAUGUUAGAUUUGUAUAGAACAACACAUUUGACUGACAGGAAAAGCUGUUAUAGAUGGAUGUGAUGUUCUGUCCUUGUAUAACAAAGGUUUUGACUGACAGUUUAACAAUAGCACACUUUCUAUCCCAUAUAUUCUAAAUGAUUAUUAUUACAGUACAAAACAUUUUUUGCACUUGCUGUAUAUAGAUAACAUGUACACUUUUUGUGUAAUAACAUUCAAGAAGAGCGUUUUUUAUAUCUUAGAGAUGAUGACAAUUAAUGAACGCUCUGUCUGACACUUAUAACCAAUGUCAAGGAUUGCUAUUGUGGUGCAUGGUGAUGUAAAAAAUAUUGAGUACUUAGCUCCCAAUGGAAGAUCAGCAUAACUCUUGACACAUGCUAUAUGGUGGAUGAAAUAAAUCUCACUGGAGAGCAAUAAAAAUAUUUCUUAAACUGAAGAGUACCCUUUCUGUUUUAUAAUCCCUCUCUUCAGCUUUGCAGUUCUGUGCAUCACUGUAACGAGCAGUUUUAAUAUGAAAAUUAACGGUUUAAAAAGGGUAACUGUUAAUGCAACAAAUGUGCUUUCUGGGCUUUACAGUCAAUAUUUCUCUUGAUAUGAGACCUAAGAUUCUUCAUCAGACCAAUAGUUGGAGAUAAAAAAAGGGUUAUUUAUUGGUUUGGGACCAAUGGUGAAAAUGGAUGGUGAAAAUUUCCUGUGAAGCAGUAGAAAGGUCUUGAAAAAAUGUUUCCCCCUUGGCUGUUGGUGUCAGCUCAACUCUUUGCAAGUUUUAAAUACAGCAUCAGUGCUUCUACAUCGGUAGGUGAAAGAGAGAAUAAAUGAACAGACAGAUAACUUAGAUGUCUGCCUCAUGUUUCCGUGCAAAACUAUGGAGAAGAAAGGAGCACACUGACUUUUUUUGCUGCUGAUUUUCCUUAGAAGAUGGUAAGUUUUUUUUUUUUUUUUUUUUUUUUUAUCACUCAAGGGAUGGAUAAGACAUCUACUUUGGAGGAAGGAUUUUGGCAGUGAAUUUCAGUGUCAUAGAAGUAUGUAAUGGGAAUGUUCCUCAUAGAGUGAUAUUAGAUAGCUAAGACCAGAGAAAUUGCAUUUGAAAUACUGUCACUGACAUUUUUUAUUAGUGGUCCUUCCUCUUUCUUAUAGCUCUUUAAUUCGUAAUUAGGCUAACUGUAUUCACUAUGUAAGAAAUUUAGAGACUUGCAUUUGGUUCAUAGGCCCUA
rnacentral:lncRNA from 1 species